GAUUUCAUUCGAAAAAUUCAUGAACAUAAAAGUUGUAGAACUCAUCAAUAUAUACAACUUUUAUUUUAGGUAUUUGUUCAUCCGAGAAAGUGAUAGUAAUAUUGUUCACAAAAUUUACAUAUCUCUCUUAUAGUUUAUGAAACCAUACGAGGGAUUUGUAAAAUUUAUGAACAAUGUUGCUAUCACUUUAUCGAAUGGAUAAAUGACCAAAAUAAAAGUUUUAGAUAUUAAUGAUUUCUACAACUUUGUUGUUGAUGACUUUUUUAGAUAAAAUG
rnacentral:pre_miRNA from 1 species